UACGUAGGGGCCAAGCGUUGUCCGGAUUUAUUGGGCGUAAAGAGCUCGUAGGCGGUUUGGAUAGUCGGGUGUGAAAACUCCGAGCUUAACUCGGAGACGCCACCCGAUACUGCCAUGACUAGAGUCCGGUAGGGGAGCGUGGAAUUCCCAGUGUAGAGGUGAAAUUCGUAGAUAUUGGGAAGAACACCGGUGGCGAAGGCGGCGCUCUGGACCGAGACUGACGCUGAGGCGCGAAAGCGUGGGGAGCAAACAGG
rnacentral:rRNA from 1 species